GCCAUGCCUCCCACGACCCCACCAUGGACCUCACCUUCACCUGGACCCUGGACGACUUCCCCAUAGACUUUGAUAAGCCUGGAGGACACUACCGGAGAACUAAUGUGAAGGAGACCAUUGGGGAUCUGACCAUCCUGAAUGCCCAGCUGCGCCAUGGGGGGAAGUACACGUGCAUGGCCCAGACGGUGGUGGACAGCGCGUCCAAGGAGGCCACAGUCCUGGUCCGAGGUCCGCCAGGUCCCCCAGGAGGUGUGGUGGUGAGGGACAUUGGCGACACCACCAUCCAGCUCAGCUGGAGCCGUGGCUUCGACAACCACAGCCCCAUAGCUAAGUACACCCUGCAAGCUCGCACUCCACCUGCAGGGAAGUGGAAACAGGUUCGGACCAAUCCUGCAAACAUCGAGGGCAAUGCCGAGACUGCACAGGUGCUGGGCCUCACCCCCUGGAUGGACUAUGAGUUCCGGGUCAUAGCCAGCAACAUUCUGGGCACUGGGGAGCCUAGUGGGCCCUCCAGCAAAAUCCGGACCAAGGAAGCAGUAUCCCAGGAGCUGAGGAGCACAAAGACAGCUGUGAUGCAAAGGAAACAUGAUGGGCUUUAAAAUCAGAAGGGCUGAGUUCAGAUUCUACCUGUGCCAUGUAUUACCUGUGUGACCUUAGGCAAGUUGAUUAACUGCUCUGGGCCUCAGUCUUUCCACCCUGAAAAGGGCAAUAAUGACACCCACCUCACAGGAUCAAAUGGCCAAUGUGUUUAAGUGCCUCUUGCAAAUUACAGGGCCCUAAACUAUUGUCAUCAGAAGCAAGUGAAAAAUCUCCAGCUGCUGGAUUCUCUGCGGAAAUAUUUUGACCCCCAGCCAAGCUACUCUUUGCCAAGCUGCA
rnacentral:sRNA from 1 species